GUGCCAGCAGCCGCGGUAAUACAGAGGGGGCAAGCGUUGUUCGGAAUUACUGGGCGUAAAGGGCGCGUAGGCGGCCGCCUAAGUCGGACGUGAAAUCCCUCGGCUCAACCGGGGAACUGCGUCCGAUACUGGGUGGCUUGAAUCCGGGAGAGGGAUGUGGAAUUCCAGGUGUAGCGGUGAAAUGCGUAGAUAUCUGGAGGAACACCGGUGGCGAAGGCGGCAUCCUGGACCGGUAUUGACGCUGAGGCGCGAAAGCCAGGGGAGCAAACGGGAUUAGAAACCCCCGUAGUCC
rnacentral:rRNA from 1 species